GAGAGGUGCUGCAUGGCUGUCGUCAGCUCGUGUUGUGAAACGUUGGGUUAAGUCUCGCAACGAGCGCAACCCCUAUCGUCUGUUGCCAGCAUUAAGUUGGGCACUCUGGCGAGACUGCCUGGGUUAACCAGGAGGAAGGUGGGGAUGACGUCAAGUCCUCAUGGCCCUUAUGUCUAGGGCUACACACGUAAUACAAUGGCGCGUACAAAGGGAAGCGAACUCGCAAGGGGGAGCAAAUCUCAAAAAGCGCGUCUCAGUCCGGAUUGGAGUCUGCGACUCGACUCCAUGAAGUUGGAAUCGCUAGUA
rnacentral:rRNA from 1 species